CCUACGGGAGGCAGCAGUGGGGGAUAUUGGACAAUGGGGGAAACCCUGAUCCAGCGACGCCGCGUGAGUGAAGAAGUAUUUCGGUAUGUAAAGCUCUAUUAGCAGGGGAGAAAGAAAUGACGGUACUUGAGGAAGAAGCCUCGGCUAACUACGGGCCAGCAGCCGCGGUAAUCCGUAGGGGGCAAGCGUUAUCCGGAAUUACUGGGUGUAAAGGGAGCGUAGAUGGUAAUGCAAGUCUGGAGGGAAAGGCGGGGGCCUACCCCCCGGACGGCUCUGGAAACUGGGUGACUCGAGUGCAGGAGAGGCAGGCGGAAUGCCUAGUGUAGCGGUGAAAUGCGUAGAUAUUAGGAGGAACACCAGUGGCGAAGGCGGCCUGCUGGACUGUAACUGACGCUGAGGCUCGAAAGCGUGGGGAGCAAACAGGAUUAGAUACCCGAGUAGUC
rnacentral:rRNA from 1 species